rnacentral:rRNA from 1 species
UACAGAGGUCCCGAGCGUUGUUCGGAUUCACUGGGCGUAAAGGGUGCGUAGGUGGUGAGGAAAGUCGGAUGUGAAAUCUCCAAGCUUAACUUGGAAAUGGCAUUGGAAACUACCUUGCUAGAGGUUUGGAGGGGGGACUGGAAUACUUGGUGUAGCAGUGAAAUGCGUAGAUAUCAAGUGGAACACCAGUGGCGAAGGCGAGUCCCUGGACAACACCUGACACUGAGGCACGGAAGCUAGGGGAGCAAACAGG